rnacentral:rRNA from 1 species
GGACCAAGGAGUCUAGCAUGUGCGCGAGUCAUUGGGAUUAUACUAAACCUAAAGGCUAAAUGAAAGUGAAGGCCGCCUUGCGCGUGCCGAGGGAGGAUGGGUCGGACAUCGUCCGCAACCCCGCACUCCCGGGGCGUCUCGUUCUCAUCGCGAGAUGAGGCGCACCCAGAGCGUACACGCUGGGACCC